AGCAGUAGCCGCGGUAAUACGGAGGAUCCAAGCGUUAUCCGGAAUCAUUGGGUUUAAAGGGUCCGUAGGCGGUCUUGUAAGUCAGUGGUGAAAGCACAUCGCUCAACGGUGGAUCGGCCAUUGAUACUGCAGGACUUGAAUUAUUGGGAAGUAACUAGAAUAUGUAGUGUAGCGGUGAAAUGCUUAGAGAUUACAUGGAAUACCAAUUGCGAAGGCAGGUUACUACCAAUUGAUUGACGCUGAUGGACGAAAGCGUGGGUAGCGAACAGGAUUAGAUACCCCGGUAGUCCCUGUCUCUUAUAA
rnacentral:rRNA from 1 species